UGACGUCCCAUCUUGUUUGAAUUCAUGCGUGUGUUGUUCUUAUUCUCAAAUGUAAGUCGCUUUGGAUAAAAACUUCUGCUAAAUGACUGUAGAAUAGAAUAGAAUAAUAUGACUGUCGGACUUCGGUGUGAGUUUGUCCCCGCGGGACUGACCAGGCAAGUAUGUGUGUGUGUGUGUGUGUGUGCGGACUCAGUGUCAGUGACGAGACAGCUCAAGAGUACCCAACUGCAGUUAAGAUGGCGGACAACAGCGCCGCCAUAUCUCAACUCUAUACAGGAAGUCAGAAGAAAGUGGGGAAAUUGGCAAUGUUUGCGAUGCAGAUCCUGUGCCAGUGGCAAAAAAGUUUGUUUUUAAGUGGACGGAUGAAAUGACGUUUUAUUUGAUUUAGGUCUGAAAAUGACCAUCUCUUCACUGGGCACAGAAAUGCCUCUACUCAAGGCUAUGACAAAAUAAUACAAAUAAUGGACUUGGAGGGGAAGGUAACUCAGGGACAGAUGAGGGAGAAAUUACUGCAGCACCUUGGAUUUUCUAUGCUGCCAUGCACGAAGCAAUUGGCCAGAGGCCAUCCGUUAGACCAGUCAGCUUCUACUCUUCAGGGCCAAGCAGUGUAGUGGUCAGCCAGACGGAGAAUGAAGACAAGGCGGACACAGCAUCUCUGUCAGCAGUAGGAGCAGCGAGCUCAGAGGUGAACUCUCCAGAAAAUUCUCCAGUUGUGACACUGAAGAGGCCAAGGAAAAGGAAGAAGAGUAAUGAGAGUGCAGCAGAGGGCCUUAGGGAAUGGUGUGAGAACAUGGAGAGGAGGCAAAAAGAAGAAGAUGAUCAUGACAGAGCCUGGCUUAACCAUUCCCAGGGACAAAUGGAUAAAAUGCUUGAUCUGUUUGGGAAACUUGUUGACCACCUUACCAAGUAAAGUGGUUAAAAGGUUUUAUUUUAUCCAUUUGCCCCAGAAAAUGCAUAUGUUCUCAAAAAUGUAAGCAUCCAGUUAUGUUUCUGUUAUGUCUGCUCAGUUGUCAAUAUUGUUAAACAUAUAAUAAAUACG